rnacentral:lncRNA from 1 species
CUAAACAACACCUGCAAAUUGUUCUCCUUUACCAAGGACUAUUUGAGUUCCUUCUUAUGCUUUCCCAGGCCAAAGUGAGAAGCCUGUGUGACUUGGUUUCACACAGGCUCUGUUCUCUGCUUGCUUUUUGCAUUUAGUAUCCACACUGGCACAGCCCAGAGGAAUUAUCCCCAGCAGGAUCAGGACACUCGGCUACUACCCUGCUGGGGCCCCUUCGUGGGAGACACAUCCCAAAACCUGGCAGUGGCUGCAAAAGGGUGCCCAUGGUGGGGAAAGGGCAGAGGGGGAGAUCAAGGCUCCACUGCAUCCUGAGAGGGCCUGGCUCUGUCCCCUUGGGCUGCAGGAGCUGUCCCAGCAGAGGGAGGGCAGGAGGGAGGAAGGGAUAUUUGUGGCACUGCCUGCUGCUGUUUUCCCCGGGGCUUUAUGGAGGGUUUCCUCUGUGGGAGGGAAUAGAGUCCCCAGGAGCCCUGGGCUGCCCCAGUUUCCUCUCCAGGGAUGUUGCAUAGGGCAUGGAAAGAGGGUGGAGAGUGACCAGGAGCCAGUCCAGAGCUCCCCAAGCCCCUCUGCAGCUCCGGCCAUGUCCAUUGACAUCUGGCUCCCACAGCCUUACCCAAACCCCUCACAGUGCCCAGUUCCCUAAGGCAGAAAGGGAUCCCAGCACACCAUGGCCAUGGUUCUGAUCUGUGCUUCCUUCUAGAUUGGGAUCAGGACAUGGAUUAUCUCGAAGCCCUGGCACUUAACAGUUUCAAGCUCUUGGAGGAUGCUGAAGCUGAACCUGUUAAUGAAGGUGAUCUGGCUAACCAUCCCAUGUCCAGGACUGAGCCUCUGGGAUCCAGGAGCGAUUCUCUGGGAGAUGGUGAGGGUACGUCACGGCUUUUCCCUCUGGGAGAGCUGCCAGCUCAGAGCCAAAAGGUCAGCCCCAAGAAACGGGACUCAUGCACCAAUGUCCCUCCUGCUUCAGCUGUUCCCAGAGCUGGCCAUGAGCAUCCAGAGGCCCAAGGCACAGGAGCAGCCCCAAGUGGGAGCCCUGCCAUGAGCCCAGGGCCACAGCCAGCCCUGGCUCCCAACUGGGCAGAGCUGGCACUGGCUCCUGACAGGGCCUGGCUCUGUCCCCUUGGGCUGGGGGAGCUGUCGCAGAGCAGGGAGGGUCAGGGGUGGCAGUGGCUGCUCAGGGAUGGCUUUGGCCUGAGUCCCUGGAAGGAGCCACUGCCCAAGCAGCUGUGCUGUCCCUGGGCUCUGCUCCUGGCCUUCUGGGCUCUGCUGGGGGGCACAGCCUGUGCCAAGGGGCAGCAAGGUGCCUGCAGGCCCCAGCUCUGGGGGAAACAGAGAACAUCCAGGCCAUACCCAGCGUGCUGCCAGCUCAGCAGUGGAGCACAGCACGGGCUCACACUGCACAUUGCUUCCGUAGAUGGAGCCGGCACCACAAGUCAUGUUCCUGAUUCCCGGAAGGGCACCGAAACAGGUUUCUGUCAGGGAACACUCUGCUGGCUGGAGAUAACAGCCAUGGUGGCUGGUGGAGAGCUUGUCAUCAUGUUGUGCUGCUUUGGAAUCUGCUAUGCCUGCAAGAGAAAACGGCACCUCCUUGAAGAAAAGCUGAAAGCUGGUGGCUGGUCCCAAGACCUCUACAGCCCGAAGAGCUACAGCAGCAGCUCUGACACUGACGAGUUUAUAUUUGCACCUUCAAGCUUUGUGAUGCUUUGAGAGGACAGGCCCAGCCCUCCAUCCAAGCCAAAAUUCCCCAGGAAAGGAAUUGGAAUUGGAAGCCUUCAACUGAACCAUGACUGAGAGCUGCCAAAAUCACGUCUUCUGUUCCAAUAAAUAGAUGUAGCUCCCACCCCA